rnacentral:rRNA from 1 species
AUUGAACGCUGGCGGCAGGCCUAACACAUGCAAGUCGAGCGGAUGAAGGGAGCUUGCUCCUGGAUUCAGCGGCGGACGGGUGAGUAAUGCCUAGGAAUCUGCCUGGUAGUGGGGGAUAACGUCCGGAAACGGGCGCUAAUACCGCAUACGUCCUGAGGGAGAAAGUGGGGGAUCUUCGGACCUCACGCUAUCAGAUGAGCCUAGGUCGGAUUAGCUAGUUGGUGGGGUAAAGGCCUACCAAGGCGACGAUCCGUAACUGGUCUGAGAGGAUGAUCAGUCACACUGGGACUGAGACACGGUCCAGACUCCUACGGGAGGCAGCAGUGGGGAAUAUUGGACAAUGGGCGAAAGCCUGAUCCAGCCAUGCCGCGUGUGUGAAGAGGGUCUUCGGAUUGUAAAGCACUUUAAGUUGGGAGGAAGGGCAGUAAGUUAAUACCUUGCUGUUUUGACGUUACCAACAGAAUAAGCACCGGCUAACUUCGUG